UGCGCAGGCGGUUUUGUAAGACAGAGGUGAAAUCCCCGGGCUCAACCUGGGAACUGCCUUUGUGACUGCAAGGCUAGAGUACGGCAGAGGGGGUGGAAUUCCGCGUGUAGCAGUGAAAUGCGUAGAUAUGCGGAGGAACACCGAUGGCGAAGGCAACCCCCUGGGCCUGUACUGACGCUCAUGCACGAAAGCGUGGGAGCAAACA
rnacentral:rRNA from 1 species